UACGUAGGGUCCGAGCGUUGUCCGGAUUUAUUGGGCGUAAAGAGCUCGUAGGUGGUUCGGUAAGUCGGAUGUGAAAUCUCCAGGCUCAACCUGGAGGGGUCAUUCGAUACUGCCGUGACUAGAGGUCGGUAGGGGAGUGUGGAAUUCCUGGUGGAGCGGUGAAAUGCGCAGAUAUCAGGAGGAACACCCGUAGCGAAGGCGGCACUCUGGGCCGAUACCGACACUGAGGAGCGAAAGCGUGGGGAGCGAACAGG
rnacentral:rRNA from 1 species